rnacentral:misc_RNA from 1 species
UGACUUCCUAUAACACAUAUGAAGUUUUUCACUUGCAAGUACACUUCAAUAUCAAAUAAGAUUACAUUUUGCCAUGCUGUCCCUAGUACAUUAAAAAAUUUAUAAUAUUUGGAACUCUAUUUUGGACUCGUAAUUCAUAGCCCACGAUCUGAAGAAGAUACUAGCUAAAAAGUUACAAUCCUAGACUAUUAGACCAAAGACACACCAGGCCCAUUGUAGAACCUACUUCCUCAAUACAAUACUGUUUCAUGGAUUA